CAUACACACUGAACUCACAGAUGGAGAGCGCUGACAGCCCUGAGCAGGUCUCCACCCACACCCAGAUCUUCCACAGAGGCUGGACGAUCGAGUGUCCUGCUGUAGAUGAAGCUAGUCUUGGCUUUAUGCUGGUUCACCCCACCAAGGGCAAGUUGCAGGGGAAGCGUGGGCCUGGGGCAGUGUGGCCCAUCUGACAGGGUUUCAGGAGGUGAUAGUAGGACAAAUCACCGUACAGAAUGUCUAUCUGCUUGGGUGCAUCUAAUACUGGGCUCAGGUCUGAGGGCUGAGCAGAUCCCAACGCUGUGCGGACAGACCAGAUAAUAAAGGCCUGAACAAAGCCUGCAAGGCAGCCGGCCCUGGCGGAGGGAGGCGGGCCUGGUGUGCUUUCACAAAGCCGUGGAGUCUUGUGGUGCGGAGCUGGAUUCAGAUCCCGACUGAGGGAUCUUGGGCAAGACUCUUAUCUUUCCUGAGCCUCGGUGUCCUCAUUUUCAAAGCAUGGACCCUUGCGGGGUCCUUGUGAGGAUCAGGUGAGGCUCAGUGCUGGGCACGUAGCAGGUGCUCAAAAACGGUAAGGUUUCUGCCAUGGUGGGGGGGGGGGGGAAAUCCAGAGGAAGGAGAAGAUGUGGGUCAAGGCUUGUGGGGGAACAUGUAACUAUAUUGGGCUGUUGCCGCAUGAUCACUACAAAAGAUCCUCAAAUGGAAAAUGUAAGCGUCUCAGAUAGUGGAUUCCUCCCUAGUUAUCUGUUUGCCCAACUGAAUGGAGAAGCUGGAAUAACAGGAGUGUGCUUUAUUGUCCAUUCAUGCCCCACCCAGAUCAUUCCCUUCCCUUCCCUGGCCUGUGCUCUGGGGCCACAGAGGCUGGCCUGCGCAUGCUGCGUCUCUCGGGCUUCCAGACCGCCUCCAGCUCUCCCCAGGCUCCAGGAACACCAUUCCCUUGAGGCCAAGGGACGGAUAUAGCUUUCCGCCAUUGCUACUCUCUGGGGCUUUGAUUUCCCGUGGUGCCUCUGUAAGCCCUACCCACGUCUCUGCAAAUGGUCCCUUUAUUCAAUUCUCUUUGCAAUUGCUUCUGAAUGUGCUUUCUCUUUCCUGCUAGGAGGCUGCAAAAGAGUGUGACUGGACACAGAUAGAGUCAAUCUAGGAAGACUUCCUGAAGGAGGCUGUCUCUUCCCCAGAUUUUUGGAGGAGAACAGUAACUUGAUAAGGACAUAGAAUAGGAGGCUGAUGUUCUGAGAUGAGGCUCUUGACAUUCAACGCGUCUAAGAAGAUUUUCCAAAGCUCACCAAACCAAUGACAGAAUUGGAUUCAAAUUCCGGAUGGCGGGCCCCAAUACCCGUGCUUCGCAAGCUCUUCCGCACUUAUUUCGGCAGCACUGGCGACUUUGGUCCAACGCGUUCUUUCCGUUCUCGUCGCGUUCUGACUUCUGUUCAUGCCUGUGUAUCCAGGCCCAGGAUCUGGAGCUGCAGAGGCACAAGAGGCCUGCCCAGUGGAGUUCAUACUUGUUUAUGGGAGGCGGUGAGGCAGCUGGGAAGGGGCGAGGAUGAGCCUGUUCGGUUAGUGGUCAAUUCUGGACCCCGAUCCCCUCUUCUGCGACCACAGCGGAGUCGCCCUGAAACACACAGCACACCAAAGAGCCUUCUGUCUGCAGGCUCUGUUCUAGUCACAGAAGAGACAGAAGGAGACAGACCUGUGUGCCCCCCACCAUGUGUUUGAAAAUAAAGCGUAUCGAUAGAAAGGUUGAGGUACGGUAAGGGGAACAAGACCAGGAGGUGACUGCUGUCGAAAAGAUUGUCGUUCAUCGUUUCCAAGAGAAAGGGGCACACAGGGAAGCCCCAGUGUUGGUCAGAGGGCGGAGGGAUUAAGGGGGAAAUGUGUGGGAGAGCCUUUAUUGUGAUUUCCCUGGGAAGGAACAGGCGAGGUGGGAUUGACAGAUUUAACAUUGGCUAGUUUGAAUACUCUCGGGUGUAGAAACUGUCCCAAGUAGCCGGGUACCCGGUCCUGGGUAUUUAGGGCAGCGAGUAGUGGCCCAGAGUGUGAGAGCCUAUAGAGGAGGUGUCUGGGGGUGUGGGCUCUGGAUUGCUUGAUUUGGAAAGUGUGCCUGUAGGUGAAUCCUUUAUUAUCGCUAGGUAUCCAUUGACCUUGGGAGGGGCAGUCACUGCAAAGUCAACGAAGCUCCAGAUGUCACCAGAAUACAGAAAAUAAAAGCUAUGUUACUCAACGCGACCAGGAAUUGGGGCUGUGGAUGGGGGUUUGGCCAGCCAAUGAACAGCGUCCAUCCACUCUAGUAUAUGUGGUUUUGGUCCAACAAGUGUGCUUUUAUAAGGAAAUAAUUGGGCAGAUGAGCAGGGAUAUGUGUACGGGGUCCUUUAUCAGCAUGAUGUUUACAAGAAAAAAGGAAAAGAAACCCUAAAUGUAUCACGAUUGGCAUAUGGCUGAGUAGUUUAUCAUUCAUUCCACACAAUGAAUCACCUGUGUGGUCAUUGACAGUGUCAGUGUAGACGCGUAUUUAUGAUAUUAACACACGAUCAGAAUACGUUUUUGGGUGCAAACAAGAGAUAUAAUCAACAAAUACGUAUGAUCCUACUUUUGUUAAAAAUACAUAUCAUUAGGGGCACCUGGGUGGCUCAGCCGGUUAAGUGUCUGACUUCGGCUCAGGUCAUGAUCUCACAACUCAAGAGUUCGAGCCCUGCAUCGGGCUCUGUGCUGACAGCUCGGAGCCUGGAGCCCGCUUCGGAUUCUGUGCCUCCCUCUCUCUCUGCCCCUCCCCUGCUCAUGCUCUGUCUGUCUGUCUCUCUCUCUCUCUCAAAGAUAAACAUUAAAAAAAAUUUAAAAAACACAUCUCAUGAAAUGUUCACUUAUAUUUACAGUGUAUUUCUAUUGCUUUGACAAAAGAUCGGAAGGAAAUGUAUCAAACUAUUAACAAUGGCAACCUUUCAGGACAGGAUUGUUGGUGAUCAAAAUGCAUCCUCUGGGUUGGGGGGGGUGGGAGGGAGGGGAGGGUGGGUGAUGGGUAUUGAGGAGGGCACCUUUUGGGAUGAGCACUGGGUGUUGUAUGGAAACCAAUUUGACAAUAAAUUUCAUAUAUUGAAAAAUAAAUAAACAAACAUUAAAAAAACACA